UGGGAGAUAAAGGGCUCAUUAUUUGCACUUGUAUAAUUUGCUUUUUGGAUUUGAUUGUUUGAUUCAAACUAUUUUGAACUUUUGACGUUAGGUCUUGCUAAACUGUUUUUUCCCCUGCCCAUGUGAUGUAGGAAAGAUAAGCUUGUAUCAGGACAAACUAGAGAGGUUCAUAGACUUGAGUAAAGCACCACUUCGACCCUCUACUACCUUGAAUUAUCAGGCUGCAACACGUUUUAUUGAGCAUUCUUUCCCUGACCUGACCCCAGAAGCUAAGUAUGAGA